AGAGGAUGAUCAGCCACAAUGGGACUGAGACACGGCCCAUACUCCUACGGGAGGCAGCAGUGGGGAACUUUGCGCAAUGGGGGAAACCCUGACGCAGCAACGCCGCGUGGAGGAUGAAGUCCUUCGGGACGUAAACUCCUUUCGAUCGGGACGAUUAUGACGGUACCGGAAGAAGAAGCCCCGGCUAACUUCGUGCCAGCAGCCGCGGUAAUACGAGGGGGGCGAGCGUUGUUCGGAAUUAUUGGGCGUAAAGGGUGCGUAGGCGGUUUGGUAAGUCUGAUGUGAAAUCUAUGGGCUCAACUCAUAGUCUGCAUCGGAAACUGCCGGGCUCGAGUGUGGGAGAGGUGAGUGGAAUUUCCGGUGUAGCGGUGAAAUGCGUAGAUAUCGGAAGGAACACCUGUGGCGAAAGCGGCUCACUGGACCACAACUGACGCUGAUGCACGAAAGCUAGGGGAGCAAACAGGAUUAGAUACCCUGGUAGUCCUAGCCCUAAACGAUCAGACUUGGGGUGCCGCCCGUUCGGGCGUCGUCCCGGAGCUAACGCGUUAAGUCCUGCACCUGGGGAGUACGGUCGCAAGACUGAA
rnacentral:rRNA from 1 species